GAUGAACGCUAGCGGGAGGCCUAACACAUGCAAGCCGAGCGGGAUUUGUUGGUUAGCUUGCUAACUAACAAUGAGAGCGGCGUACGGGUGCGUAGCACGUGUGCAACCUGCCUUUAUCUGGGGGAUAGCCUUUCGAAAGGAAGAUUAAUACCCCAUAACAAAUUGAUUGGCAUCAGCUAAUAUUGAAAGCUCCGGCGGAUAGAGAUGGGCACGCGUAAGAUUAGCUAGUUGGUGAGGUAACGGCUCACCAAGGCUGCGAUCUUUAGGGGGCCUGAGAGGGGCAUCCCCCACACUGGUACUGAGACACGGACCAGAAUCCUACGGGAGGCAGCAGUGAGGAAUAUUGGACAAUGGGUGAGAGCCUGAUCCAGCCAUCCCGCGUGAAGGACUAAGGACCUAUGGUUUGUAAACUUCUUUUAUACAGGGAUAAACCUACUCUCGUGAGUGUAGCUGAAGGUACUGUAUGAAUAAGCACCGGCUAACUCCGUG
rnacentral:rRNA from 1 species